GGGCCUGUAGCUCAACAAGCAGAGCAGCCGUCUCAUAAACGGCAGGGCGGGGGUGCAAGUCCUCCCGGGCCCA
rnacentral:tRNA from 1 species